AAGUCGUAACAAGGUUUCCGUAGGUGAACCUGCGGAAGGAUCAUUAACACGUAUCCAACGUUAAACAACUCUGUGAACCUUCACCCCUGCUCUCCUUGUAUUUCGGUACUUGGAUUUGAUGCGGUCGAAGCAAUUAGACUUGCCUCUGUGGGGUAGUCAGUGGGUGAAAGUGCCACUGGUUACUUAAGCGGAGUACUGCACCCGGACUAACCGGGGUGGGAUCAUCGAGUGUCCUCACGGCCGAUGAACAAGUCUCUGAGCGCAAGCUCCAAUAUUAACCCCGUCUUUAAUCUUGAGUGAGCAGUCGCUUCGGCGCCGCCACUGUCGUGAAAGCUGAACAACUGUUAACAAUGGAUAUCUUGGUUCUC
rnacentral:misc_RNA from 1 species